rnacentral:snRNA from 1 species
UUUAGGAGGAGCACUAGUUUACCAUCUCCUCAAGUAGGAGAGUGGACAUCAUAAUUUGUGGCAGAGGGGAUACGCGUUCGCGCGGUCCCUACC